AUGGCGAUGCUUCGUGAUGUUUGGAUGCCAAGCAGCCAAUGCUAUUUCACAGGGCCACUUUGGCCGUCUUUUGAGGCGGAAAAUUUUGAGCUAAAGCCUGGUCUUAUUGCUUUGGUUCAACAACAUCAGUUUGGAGGGUUGCCUAAUGAAGAUCCUUACGAGCACUUACACCGAGUCAUGGAGUAUUCAGAUACAGUCAAGUACCAUGGAGUUCCUCAAGAUGCAAUCAUGUGCAGGUUGUUCACAUUCUCCCUCCGUGAUGAUGCUCGUGCUUGGUAUCGAUCCUUGCCAUCAAGGUUAUACAGUUGGAAUGAGAUAUCGCGAGCUUUCUUGGAUAAAUAUUUCCCACUACACAAGCAGUCCGCAAUUCGAGAUGAGAUCUUCAAUUUCGUUCAGCGUGAAGGCGAGAGCUUGUAUGAUGCUUGGGAGAGAUACAAAGCCUUAUUCAGGAGAUGUCCUAAUCAUGGGCUCGAGAGAUGGUUAGAGCUGCAGAUAUUCUAUAGAGGAUUGACUUCGGACACUCGAGCUUACGUCGACAUGGUAGUGGGUGGAGCUAUUACAAACAAGACACUUGAUGAAGCUUUUCUGCUGAUUGAGAGCAUAGCUUUCCACCAACUUCAGUGGUACAAUAAGAAGCCCACAUCUGAUUCAUUGGUUUGCUUGCAACAAAUCACUAUACCUCAACCACCAAUUCUUACACAAAAGCCCGAGCCUCUAUCUCAGUGUGACAAGGUUGAGCUUGCAUGGAUUAUAUUUGAUGAUGAUGACACCAUUCUAGUUGACACACACGCUACAGAUCAUCUGGAUACUAGUGUUGGAGAUUCAGUUUUGCAUUGUGAUGAUUCUUCCAUGGAUGAGCCAAAGCCGCAGUUUGUUGCUUUUGAUAUUGAGGAGUCACCUUUAGUUGAUAUUGAUCAUGUGCUUCUAGAGCCAGAUAUGGAGAAGUUCGCCUUUUAUGAUGUUAGCCGCAUUGAUUCUUCAACACUUGAGCCUGAGAGGGAGAGCUUCAUGGUUGAUUAUGGUGAGGUGGAUUCAGAUGUCAAGGAGUCAUGCUCUAUUUCACUUGUUGACACGAGUCCGGUGGAAAUUUCUACUACCACACCUCACUUGGUAUCUUCAAUGGAGGUAGUCCUGAAGCUUCUUCCUAACUAUCUCAGGUAUGAUCUCAGCUUUCUCGACAAGAUAUGCCAUAUCAUGGAUACUGCCUAUGCACCAUGUGAUUUAUUGAUGAUAUCUAUUUAUCAUAUGCUCAAUAGAUAUGCUUAUGUGAUAGGAUACUCUAUUGAUGACUUAGAGGGCAUUGUUCCUAUCAUUUGUAUUGGCUUGUUUGUUGAGUGUUCUUUCAGGUUUACACUUGUGCACCAUUCAUUACGGGCUGACCAAGUUUGA
rnacentral:rRNA from 1 species